CACGUAGGCACCAAGCGUUGUCCGGAUUUAUUGGGCGUAAAGAGCUCGUAGGCGGUUGAGUAAGUCGGGUGUGAAAACUCUGGGCUUAACCCAGAGCCGCCACCCGAUACUGCUCUGACUUGAGUUCGGUAGGGGAGCAGGGAAUUCCUAGUGUAGCGGUGAAAUGCGUAGAUAUCAGGAGGAACACCGGUGGCGAAGGCGGCCCUCUGGACGGUGACUGACGCUGAGACGCGAAAGCGUGGGGAGCAAACAGG
rnacentral:rRNA from 1 species